GAUGAACGCUGGCGGCGUGCCUAAUACAUGCAAGUCGAACGAACAGAUGAGGAGCUUGCUCCUCUGACGUUAGCGGCGGACGGGUGAGUAACACGUGGAUAACCUACCUAUAAGACUGGGAUAACUUCGGGAAACCGGAGCUAAUACCGGAUAAUAUAUUGAACCGCAUGGUUCAAUAGUUAAAGACGGUUUUGCUGUCACUUAUAGAUGGAUCCGCGCCGCAUUAGCUAGUUGGUAAGGUAACGGCUUACCAAGGCCACGAUGCGUAGCCGACCUGAGAGGGUGAUCGGCCACACUGGAACUGAGACACGGUCCAGACUCCUACGGGAGGCAGCAGUAGGGAAUCUUCCGCAAUGGGCGAAAGCCUGACGGAGCAACGCCGCGUGAAUGAUGAAGGUCUUCGGAUCGUAAAACUCUGUUAUUAGGGAAGAACAAAUGUGUAAGUAACUAUGCACGUCUUGACGGUACCUAAUCAGAAAGCCACGGCUAACUACGUG
rnacentral:rRNA from 1 species